CAGAUUCUGUGUCUCCCUCUCUCUCAGGCCCUCCCCAUCCUCAUGCUCUAUCUCUCUCUCUCUCUGUCUCUCAAUAAUAAAUAACCGUUAGAAAUUGGAAACUGAGGCGCAGAAACGGAAGCAGUUAGCCCUGGUUGGGGGAACGGAAAGGUCACGCGCUGCAGCUCGAGAUGUGAGUCAUGAGGUGCCGCGCAGAUGCUCCAUCCGUGGAGAGGUUCCGAACUGGAGCUUUGUGGGACUCCAGCCUUCUUCAGGGAGGAACAGGCAGAAGGAUGCUGGAGGAGACACCGCUUUUCCACGGGGCACCGGGUGCUAAGAGACUACGGAAGGACCCCCUGAGAAGAGGUUUACAGAGCAGCCGUUGCUCAACUGGGGAAGCAGCUACGAGUGUGGGGUCUACAAGAGCGCACACAUCCGUCCCGCGAGAUGAUGCCCUCUGCCCGUGGACUGGUCCUACAGGCAGACUCUUUGAGACGUUGGCUCUGCUUGGAUUUCCUUUUCUCCAUUCGAUAGCACUCACUUCUGCCACUGGAUAAUGUUUUCUAUUUAGGAAUCACAAUUGAAGAAGUGUUAAGCCGCUUAGGCUUCCAGGAACUGUUGUUCGAAAACUUCAGAUGGAGGCUAAGCUACAAAGAGAAUCACAAGCGGGCUAAGUGUUUGCAGAGUAGAUGUCCGUAGCAGAUUGCUCGCGUCUGGGCAUUUAUGGACUUAUGCAA